rnacentral:rRNA from 1 species
UACGUAGGGGGGCAAGCGUUGUCCGGAAUCAUUGGGCGUAAAGCGCGUGUAGGCGGCCCGAUAAGUCCGCUGUGAAAGUCCAGGGCUCAACCCUGGAAUGCCGGUGGAUACUGUCGGGCUCGAGUCCGGAAGAGGCGAGUGGAAUUCCUGGUGUAGCGGUGAAAUGCGCAGAUAUCAGGAGGAACACCGAUGGCGAAGGCAGCUCGCUGGGACGGUACUGACGCUGGAGACGCGAAAGCGUGGGGAGCAAACAGG